CUUUGAUGUCAUACGCCGUUCCGUCUGCGAUCAAACAUCUGACUGGCACACACGAGGUGUACGAGUUUUCACCGGUGUCCUCUCGCGCCACAGGCGGGAAUUCAAAAUAACGGAUGGCAACAACCUCUCGACUGUCCCAUUGGAGAAUUUUCAGUAUUUUCCAGUUGAGUAGACAAAAAAGGACACCCAAGGCCAACAGAACCAGCUCCAGCCCGCCCUGAUGCUCAUCCUUGCACUGCCUAGGACACCUAAGGCCAACAGCCGCAGCUCCUGUUCUCUUUUUGCCAUAAAUACAUAUCUACUUUAGCAAUACAAAAUUGUGAAAUGCACUAUAGAAAUUAUUUUGACUUUGGAUCCUCACACCACCUGGUAAUAGCAGGAAACCCAUUUGGAGAGAACAGCAUUGUUUUUUUUCUUGCUCGCAAGGAUUUGCUUUUUGGCAAAUUACAACUUUACCAUGGGUGUAGGCCUUGCUAUGAGAGACUACUUUUUUGCUGGACUUCUUUACAAUUGUACA